rnacentral:rRNA from 1 species
GCCGUGGAACCACCUGAACCCAUGCCGAACUCAGAAGUGAAACGCGGUAGCGCCGAUGGUAGUGUGGCAUUCGCCAUGCGAGAGUAGGAC